rnacentral:lncRNA from 1 species
AGUGCUUGGAUGGGGCGUCUCGGAGUCGAGCGCCUGGUUGGACAUCGGGCCCGGCUGCACAUCUUAAAGUCGAGCACCUCCAGAUCGGGCGCCUUCAGGCACGUGAUGGUCAUGCGCCCAUGUAUUUCGGGACGACUCGUUUUUCCCCCCAACAAUUUCCAAAUUGAAGGGAUUGAACAUUCUCAUUUACACCGCCAAACAACUAUUAGCUUAAUUUGUUGAUAUCUCUCCUCCAAUGGCUCCUCCUUGGAGGAAAUCUGAGGUUCAAAUCCAAAUCCGAGAUAUUGCUCGGGAAAAGC